rnacentral:lncRNA from 1 species
GAGAAUUGUGACAGCAACAGAUGUCCCCAUCCCGGCGAGUGGUGAGCUACCGCUUUUGUCUGCAGAAGGAUGCAGCUCGUAUUUACCUGCUUGUAUGGCCAGUGGUUCUUGUGCUGUCUGUCCUGACCCUUUGGCUGGCAUGGGGCAUCGUGGUCACAUAGUGAGAGGCACAACCGAACGCCGUCCCAUUUUCUGUUAGUUUUUUCUGCUGGACCAACUCUGCAGAGCGGGUUGCUGCUGCCUGGUUGCGCAAGGUCUGCAGCCAGCGCAAGGAGAAACACUGGUGGCUGUGGUCAGGAGAGGAAACGAGGCUGGGACCACAGCAGCUGUGAUUUAUGUACACUUACCUCGCUGCGGAACAAAACCACUAAUGAUUUUAGCCCUCUUGUCAGCCCAGCGCCAUGCCACCUGCGUAUUGGGACAGCCUGGUCUGGAGCAAGGCUUGCACACCAGCGUGGCAGCCUGCGGGACGAGCUGCCUGCCCGCAUCUGCUGGCAGCCUUCUCGGUGAGGGAGAGCAGCUUUGGUGGGCAGGCUGCUGCUCACGCGGACGUGGGCUCCAUCACCCGGGUCCCCAGAGCGCCUGGCCUCCAUCCCGGCUGGAUUCUUCCCUUGUCCAGGCCCGUCGCUCUCUCCAGGUGGAGGAACUGGACAAUGAGUACAGGUAGGAAGGACGCUACCUCUGAUGCACACAUAAGACAGGAGCGGAUCGGAUCCCAGCCCAUUCAAGGUUUUCCACAUUCCUGUGUUUUCUGCAUGUCACAAACAGGCAGCCGCAUGGUGAGAUUUGAUUAAGACAAGAUGAAGAAGCAUUUAAAAUUAGGGGUGUACGUCCACCAGUGCAAUAUCCUUCUCAAAUAGGCCAGGUUGAACGGCAACAAGGAUCAUCACUAGAAUUGCUACCCAGAGUGAACUCAUCCUGGACAUGUUACUUAAGCCGAUGGCAGGCAUGGGCUAACCCUACAUUUCAGGCAAGGUGGACUCCAGUGAUUUAAUCAAACAGUUAGUAACUGCUCUUAAAUUGGUGUAGACUUCCAAGUUAGUUGCAGCUUUAGGAACAAAUGUAUUUUUUUAGAAUUUGCCUUCUACUGAAACACACUUCUUCAAACCCUUCAUUGAUGGUAUAGCUGAGAAAAGAAUCGAGGAAUUGCACUGUAU